GUGGUAAAAUAGUACCACUAGUACUCUGGUGGCAAGAGUAGUGGUGGUGUAGUAGUGCUAUCUAGUGGUGGUAGUCAGCGUUAGUCAGGUUAUCAGUGAUGGUGUUAUAGUAAAGGUCAGGACAGUUACCAACCUCAGGGUGACUAAAAGUCAGUUAAUUUUUAAUGGUCGUACAGGAGAGACGUGUUGCGCCUCCUCCUGUUACCCCGCCGGCGUUACCGCUUCCUCAGCCUUAAUUAAUACACCUAAAUAACGUGCGGGAAUUGCUGCACCUGGCUGGCUGCUGCAACACUGAUCAGUCUGAGGAGUGGAGACAACCACACUAGUAAAUUUUCAGACCCAUAACCUUUAGUGUUAUACUUGGAGAAGGUUACUCCUGGUAUAUGUAGAUGCAGCAGCUGGAGACGUUGUCAGAGGUGGGCGGGGCCCACUUUUAAGAGUGUGGCCUUUGGCCAGUUUUGUCUGCUGUUUGCCCAUUGGACCAGGCUGUGGCUUGCUGGAGUUUACCUGGAGAGAGUUCUGGGGGUCAACGCCCCCGCGGCCCGGUCUGUGACCAGGCCUCCUGGUGGAUCAGGGCCUGAUCAACCAGGCUGUUACUGCUGGCUGCACGCAAACCAACGUACGAGCCACAGCCCGGCUGGUCAGGAACCGACUUUAGGUGCUUGUCCAGUGCUAGCUUGAAGACUGCCAAGGGUCUGUUGGUAAUCCCCCUUAUGUAUGCCGGGAGGCAGUUGAACAGUCUCGGGCCCCUGACACUUGUUGUAUGGUCUCUUAACGUGCUAGUGACACCCCUGAUUUUCAUUGGGGGGAUGUUGCACCGUCUGCCAAGUCUUUUGCUUUCAUAGUGAGAGAUUUUCGUGUGCAAGUUCGGUACUAGUCCCUCGAGGAUUUUCCAGGUGUAUAUAAUCAUGUAUCUCUCCCGCCUGCGUUCCAGGGAAUACAGGUUUAAGAACCUCAAGCGCUGGUGGAUAUAUAAUUUUUUUUUGACUCAAAAGCCAUCUUCAGUCAUGACUUUGCCACCUGAAAAUCCCCUUCACAACAGAAGACUAUGUGGAGUAAUGUACCCACUACAUAAGUAUUAACCCAGUAGAAGUUAUGUUAGUAAGAUAAUUGCCAUCAGCCCAGACUUGUGUAAUGUUAGUAAUAAUUGUAGAAUUACUUACAAAAUGUUAGGUAAAUGGACACAGUUGCAACUAAUGUGACAUUUUAUUGUGGCAAUGUUGACCUCUCCAGGAGCCAAGUGUUGCUGCAAUGUUGACCUCUCCAGGAGCCAAGUGUUGCUGCAAUGUUGACCUCUCCAGGAGCCAAGUGUUGCUGCAAUAAAAUGUCACAUUAGUUGCAACUGUGUCCAUUUACCUAACAUUGUAUAAUGUCUAAAAAAAAAUUUAGAACCCUUGUAAUGGCAAUUUUCUAAAUACCAUCAAUAACACAGUAAAUCACUCGGCAGAGUCAAGAACAACACUGUUCAUAACCAGAAGCAGCUGCAUUGACAUCAGACAUCAACCUACUAGUCACUAUACAUCACUACUGAUGUAGUCAUUGACAGGAGAAAAAACCUGAUAACGUUGACAGUGUAUAUUGAAGGUGAAAAACAACAACAGACACAAAACAAGUAAGAAUUUAUUAAACUUUGUAUAACAGAGUAAUGAACACAAUUGACUGUGGCAUAAUAUGGCCACAUGAUAAAUAUAAAAUGUUGAUGUAGAAAAAGAUAAGUUAAGUCACUGUAACUUUCAUUGCUGAUUACAUAAAAAGAAUUACGAUAUAUAAAUGCAUACGGUGUUAAUUAACCCAGUUAAGUCAGUGUGAUGUACUUACGUUGUGUAUUAGUAUUAUAUAGCGAUUUGUAUAAAAGUUUUGGCAGAGAAUGCUAUAAACGUGUGUAAAAGUUAUAAUGGCUCGCACAUGUUAUGGUCAUGCAUGCUUAUGUAAUGAUAGCAUAAGAUGGUAAAGUUGAAGAAUGUGACAGUUUGGUUUUGGGUAUAUUUAUUAGGAUUCUUAACUAAAGUUAUUAUGUGUGGGUAUAAAAGAAUGUGUAUCGACUGUGGCCUGGUCUGUAACCAGGCCUCGUGGUGGAUCACAGCCUGAUCAACCAGGCUGUUACUGCUGGCUGCAUGUAAAUUGAUGUACUAACCAUAGCCCGGCUGGUCAGGUACUGACUUUAGGUGCCUGUCUAGCACCUUCUUGACAGUCAGGGGUCUGUUCGUAAUCCCCUUUAUUAGAUUUUUAGAUUUUGCCACCGAAGUUGCUAGUUUGUGCACCCCAUGUCCAUCCUGUGGAAGGUAGCACAAGAGCAUAUGGAUUCACAAAAGACCUAGGAACUAGGCCCCAAAAGGGUUAACAAGUGUACAUUUGGAUUCAUAUCUACAUACCUACAGUUCACUUAUCUGUUACAAGGAAAUUUAGGAAAUUUACUUAUUACAUGUAUGUCUAGUAUCUUGUUUUCAUUAAUAAGAUAUCUUGACAUGUCACAUAGGUUAUUAUACUGUCUAUCUAUGUAAUCCUCAAUAAGUGGACAGUUAAGCACAUAGUGUUCAAGACAGUGACCAUAUGCCUGACCACAUAAUUUACAUUUAGUUUGAUCAUCUGUAUCUCUCCCAAACUGUCAGAAGUACUUGUAACCAAGCCUAAGCCUGGCCACUACAACAUCAGUCAGUCUGUUCACAUUGCAAGUUGCUCCAUAGACAUACUUAUCUAUGUUCAUGUUAUUAUAGUGGGUUAUCUAUAGAUCUACUUAGACUUCUAACUGCAUUUCUAUAACAGUCAUAUUCAUUAUUUACUUCUCCUAAUAUUAUUCCUAAUGCUAGAUACAGAUAUCCCAAAGUUAUAUUCUACAUUCUUAUUCAGGGUACUCUUCUUGGCUAACAUAUCAGCUGUAUCAUGAAGGAGUAAUGCAAUGUGUGAUGGCAUCCAUAGCAAUUGUACAUUAAUUCCUUUUGAGAAUCUAUACCUGACAAGUGUUGCAGUCUAUACCUGGCUUCUCCAAUGAGCAUGUUGUUGGAGUCAUUAUAUGAAUCAAGAGACAUUACAAUUGCCAGCAGUUCAGUUUGCAGUGUAGAUGCCCAGUUAAUUCUUAUGCCUAGUUCAACAAAUUUAUUAUUGUUCUUAACUAGGGAGUUGGCAACAAGAGCAGGUGCAGCCCUGCCAGAAGACUCCUGUUUAGAUCUUUACAUGCCUCAAUUUUUUUAUUUUAAAUCCUAAGAUCAAGUUAGUGAGUCUAAAAGCUUGAUUUAUGAAUAAGAAUUUAUUGGUAUUUGAAAGUUUUUUAAUGAUCCACCUUAUAGUGUUCAGCAUAAACCCCAUAUUUGCAUUACAAUGAUAUUUAUCUUCUAUCAAAAACCCAAAGAAUGUAGCACUUGAAGGAGAGUCAGAGGCAUCUGCAGUAGUAUAGGAGGAGCUUCAUGGUGGCAAGCUGGUUGAAAGAAAGGAUUAAAGGGGUUAGUGGUUAUUUUGAUUUGAUGUGUUGUUGGAGUGUGAGCAAGACCUCAUUUACAAAGUGAUUCAGGGAAAGCAGUUAUCCAAACAUGAGUCCUGGAAGUGUGAAGUACAGUGCCUGCACUCUGAAGGAUGUAUAGGGAUAAUAUAGUUUAGAGGGUCAUCUUAGGUGUACUAUUAGCAUGCUUCUUGCAAGACUGUAAUAAUGAGUGAUGUUGAAAAUGUUUAGCUUCAUGGUCAUCCUACCCCUAUGGGAGAUGGGCAGUGUAUUUAAAAAAAAAAAAAGUGUUGUGAGGUUAUUGGAAAUUUUGGUUGGCUUGAGCUUGGCCUGUCAGACACCCCAGAGUUAAGCUCAUGUUAUGAGUUGUCAGAUUAGAGCCCUACCCCAGUAUUUGUUAUACAGUAUUGUAGAAGCAUAGGGAUUGAAUUGGAUAUGGGAAUCUAUAAAAUGACCUAAUGUCAUUAAUAACUUAUAAGUUGCUGUGCAAACAAUUACCCAUUCCAGUGGCAGACACCACACCCCCCAAAACUUGAACUUGUUUAAUAAACAAAAUAUGCAUUCAUACUACUGUGUGUGCAGUAUAUAGGACAUUUGUUUUCAAUAUAAGCCUUUUUCUGAAACUUUUCCUUUUAAUAGGCACAACAAGACAAAAAAGCUGACAUCCCCCCCCCCCCAUGUAUGAAAAUUCAGUGCUCAUAAUAUCUGGAACUCCAUCUGAAGCAUUGAAAGGUUCCCUAUCUGCCAACCAUGUCAAAGCUGCUGUUUAAAAAAACACCAUCUCCUUAGCAUAAUUGAGAGAGCAAUCUGUUAUGUCUAGCAAAACCAGCUUUCAUCCAGUUCUGCCCCUGUUCUUCCUUCAACACCCAUUGGUGGUUUAGUUGGUCCUCACUUGCUCUACUCCCAAACAUAAUAUAAAAAGUUUUCAUCUAUAUUAACAGUAAGUUUAUUGGCGGUCAACCAGGUUGCUAUUUUUCCAAGUUUUUCAUUAACAGUAGUGUUGAGUGAGGCUAGAUUUGGGUGGGAGAUGACAAAAGCCGUGUCGUUGGCAAAGAGUAUAGGCGUAAGUUGUUCUGAUAUGCUUGGAAGAUCGUUGAUGUCUAAAAGGAAAAGGAGGGGGGCCAAGAAUGCUACCCUGUGGUACACCAGUGUCCAGGGCCUUGUUGAGGAGGUUGUGUCAUUGACAGAGAGGUAUUAUUUUCUAUUAGAGAAGUAGGACUUGAUAAAUGCAAGCGCAUGGCCUCUUAUACUGUAAUGAUCAAGCUUGAGGAGUAGGAUGCUGUGAUCUGCUGUAUCAAAAGUUUUCUUAAGAUCGAUAGAGAGAGUAAGCAGGUAUUCAUUUUUUUUCCAGUGCUGUGUAAAGUAGGUCUAACAUUUUUAUUAUUGCAUUAUUUGUGCUUUUGUUUCUCCUGAAUCCAAACUGGCAGGGGUUAUGGAUGCUUUGUGAUGUUAUGAAGGAGUAUAAUCUUUUGUGUACGAGUUUCUCAAAGAUUUUGGAAAGUAAAGGCAAGUUUGAUAUUGGCCUACAAUUGUUUACAUCUAUUGGGUCACCACCUUUGUGUAUUGGUGUAAUCCUUGCUAGCUUGAGUGAUGCUGGGAAAGUGUUGGUAUCCAGUGAUUUGUUGAAGAGUAAUGCAAUGGUGGGUGAAAGGAUUUGAGCUGCUCGUUUAUAUAGUAGUGACGGCAUUUGGGUUACAUGCCUUGAUUUGUUUUCCAGGAAGUUAUUGCUAUGGAUCCCAUCACACACUAGAUUACUCCUUGUGAUAAAGUUAAUAUGUUAGCCAAGAAGAGUACCCUGAAGGAGAAUGUAGAAUAUAACUUUGGUAUAUCUGUGUCUAGUAUUAAGAAUAAUAUUAGGAGAGAAGUAAAUAAUGAAAAUGAAUGUUAUAGGAAUGCAGUUAGAACUUUAAGUAGAUCUAUAACCCACAAUGUUUAUGGAGCAACUUGCAAUGUGAACAGAUUGACUUAAUUUGUAGUGGCCCAGGCUUAGGCUUGGUUACAAGUACUUCUGGCAGUUUGGGAGAGACACAGAUGAUGAUCAAACUAAAUGCAAAUUAUGUGGUCAAGCAUAUGGUCACUGUCUUGAACACUGCUUAAUUGUCCACUUGUUGAGGAAUACAGAGAUAGACAGUAUAAUAACCUAAGUGACAUGUCAAGAUAUCUUAUUAAUGAAAAUAAGAUUAUGGAAAAUUUUAUAGGGGGUUACCUGUAUGUACCUCAACAUUACAUGCAUACGAGUAAUCUCAUUGGGAGACAACAACCAUAUUGUUUACCAUAGUCACCCCGUGUAGACAUGUGAGAAAACUUAACCACCCCUGGUCACUGCAGGUGGUCCCUUCGACCUCACAAUCUUAUCCAUAUCUAUCCGAGACCAGUAUAAAUUGGAUAGCACCCACAAGUACGGCGCUACUAAUUAAUUGUGGACUGUAUAGAUUAUAUUAGUUUAACUGAAUGAAGGGGGGGGGGGGGUAGGUUACACAUGGAUAUAUCCAUCAAGGAAAAACACUUGUAUAUAAUCCCACCACUUACCAGAUAUUCUCUGGUGGUCACUUGAUGUAGCUGGAUCACCCACAACCUAUCCAAUUACAACAUACCUAACUGGCCAGUAUUAGUCUGCUAUAACUAGAAGGGUUACUUAACUGUGGGUGAUUGAUGCUCCUUAUUUCCUCCAUUCACCAUCUCAUUUCGAUAUCCUGCUACACCAACACUGUUCUUAUUCCAGCAGGACGAGGUACCCGUUGGUUUGUCCCGGUUUAGAAGUCGUGAGUCCAUAAAAACUUCACCAUCCUCGGGACAGGAACACGAGGUAAAGAGAUGCUCACUCUGAGAACGGCGACUCAUUUCACUUAACACAUUUUCUUAACUUGGUGUUAUUAUCACUGAUUACUUCUUAGCCCACCAUAUGAUUUAAUGUCUCAUAAUUAUUAUACACAUUGGAGGCCACUCCAUUAAGAUCUGAGACCGAUGAGUAAUGAUUAAAUCACGGGUAUUUUUCCCCAAGACACACUCCAUGGCAAUGCGCCAGUCACCCCCGGUCCUACCAUUAUUCACUAAUUUUGCCACUUUAUUACGGUGGUCCCGUAAAUCAUGUUCCCUCACUCUUCACCAGGAACAGUUAUGACACUUCCUAUUAUGAAGUGAGGCCUAUAUUAAUCCUUAGGCCGCCGUGAAUGCCAAUUUCCUGGUCCCAUGUUUUCCCAGCCUCUUAACUCCAUUCCAAACACUCCCGUUCCCUGCUGCCCCGUCUCGACCUCUCCCUGCCCAUAAGCGCAGGCGCAGAGCUUCCCUGUUGGUUCUAUUCCAUUUUCAAAUACAUUUUUGACCCAUAUCGACACAUUAAACACCUAUUAGGCACUAUAGCUUCGGAAGAUUAAAAUAUUUUCCACACUGCGGCCGGGCGGAGGUCGUUGUUAGAUGACUUAAAUAACGUGGAGUACAAUUUUCCCAUCUUCACUGGCCACCUGGCUUGGGAACUCCAACAUUGGUAUUUACAUAAUCACCCAUUAAUUCUUUCCACCUGUUAACUCCUCAGGUAGGGCUCCAUCCAAAGCACACUCAAGCUUCCAUGCUUCUGGUAUUAAUAAUUUCCCUCUUAUUGUAAGGUGUGACACUAAGCCUAUGCUCUCUGGGUUAAUUUAUUGAGCAUACUGGAAUUAUGAGACUUUAACAAUAACAAGUCUCUCUCAGUAUUCCAAGUCAGCCCCAGCACAUUACUGCAUAUAGGCACUUCAACUCCAGGGCUAUCCAUAUAUAUUGAUCCCUCAAAAUGGACAAAUUACUGUUCCAUUCCCUCAGGGGCAUCCUUGCACCUUGCAUUAUUUCAUUAACCCCUUCAUAUAUCCUCAUUAGUUCCUCUUCAGUUGACGUCACACCCAGGAAAUUGUCCACAUACGAUUAUUUACCCAAUUACUUCGCUCAGUGGACCACCUGUGUACUUAAGGUGUGCAUUUAUCGUCGCCUGACGUAGGAACAAUUUAUUAUUUAACUGUUGAUUAAUUAUAUCAUUAUAAUGAGAACCUUCAAAACUAGGGAGGCCAAGCCCAUGAUGACACUCUUCAGGUCACUUGUUCUAUCUAGGCUGGAAUAUUGCUGCACACUAACAGCACCUUUCAAGGCAGGUGAAAUUGCCGACCUAGAAAAUGUACAGAGAACCUUCACGGCACGCAUAACGGAGAUAAAACACCUCAAUUACUGGGAGCGCUUGAGGUUCCUAAACCUGUAUUCCCUGGAACGCAGGAGGGAGAGAUACAUGAUUAUAUACACCUGGAAAAUCCUAGAGGGACUAGUACCGAACUUGCACACGAAAAUCACUCACUACGAAAGCAAAAGACUUGGCAGACGAUGCACCAUCCCCCCAAUGAAAAGCAGGGGUGUCACUAGCACGUUAAGAGACCAUACAAUAAGUGUCAGGGGCCCGAGACUGUUCAACUGCCUCCCAGCACACAUAAGGGGGAUUACCAACAGACCCCUGGCAGUCUUCAAGCUGGCACUGGACAAGCACCUAAAGUCAGUUCCUGAUCAGCCGGGCUGUGGCUCAUACGUUGGUUUGCGUGCAGCCAGCAGCAACAGCCUGGUUGAUCAGGCUCUGAUCCACCAGGAGGCCUGGUCACAGACCGGGCCACGGGGGCGUUGACCCCCGGAACUCUCCCCAGGUAUACCCAGGUAAGCAGUCAACAAUUCUGGUGUCUUGCUCAGUUUGCAGAGCUGGGCCCUUUAACUGUCCAUAUGCCAUCAUAUAAUUAUUAGGUAAUUCUGGAUGGUUCAGCUUCCACGGAAGUCGCACCCAGUAAUGUCCAGACUCAAAUUUAACAUCCUUCAGGCAUUGUUCCUGAGUAAAGAAAUCGUCUGGACUUUCCUCAUCUCCUUGCCAACCUCAACAGAACACAUGACCAUAAUACAAGGCACAGAUCACUCUUUGAUGUUCCUCAUGUCCAUCUCACGCUAUGCAAAAACUCAAUGCACAUAAAAGGCCCUAAAAUCUGGAAUUCAUUACCUUUAAAUAUAAAAGAAACACUACCUGUUUAUAAAUUCAAGUCUCUUCUCAAAGUUCACUUAUUCACUCAAAACCAAAUAAAUACUGAAUAACUGAACCAUAUAAAUUGUAUAUCCUAAAUGUUACUCACAAUUAUAUCACACAAAUGUUAAACCUAACUUUGUUAUUUUUUUUAAAUACACUACCUAACAGAAUACUCCAUUCUACUGAAUGAACAGCAAUGCAUGCAACCAUAGGACCUGUCUUUGUAAUACUCAUUUGUAUUUUAUAGUUAUCUGUUUACAAUAAUGUCUUAUCACUGAUUUCAUCAUUGCUUAGUUAAGAUUAAGUUAAUGUUAAGCCAGCCCGUAAUGCUAUGCAUAUAAGUGGCUUUGGCAUGCUGCUCUUACCUGUAUUUUUUGUACCUCUGUUUGUAUGCUAAAAUUUCUAAAUAAAUAAAUAAUAAAUAAAUAAAUAUUAAUCCCUAUGCUGUCCAGCUCCCACAAAUUAGACUGGUUCAACAUCAUCCUCGAUAGAAGAAUACUUGUACUGGGUUGACCUUUUAUGAGUAAGACACCGUGACUGUAUUUACUACUUCCUCUAGUCAUUAUUACUAUGCGGUAGUCUGCCAUAUAUUACAUGGCCCGUACCAGUGUUGAGGAGAAUGAUGCCACAUAGUUUUGGAUUUAUGCCCUUUAUCCUGAAUUAUUACAUCCAACACCGGCAAGGCUACCUCAGCUAGACCAUCAUUAUUGCCAUUAGCUGUAACGUUUACAUCAGUCACUGUAGUGUCAGGGUUAAGAGAUAAGAUAAGAUUUCGUUCGGAUUUUUAACCCCGGAGGGUUAGCCACCCAGGAUAACCCAAGAAAGUCAGUGCGUCAUCGAGGACUGUCUAACUUAUUUCCAUUGGGGUCCUUAAUCUUGUCCCCCAGGAUGCGACCCACACCAGUCGACUAACACCCAGGUACCUAUUUGCUGCUAGGUGAACAGGACAACAGGUGUAAGG